rnacentral:rRNA from 1 species
UACGGAGGGUCCAAGCGUUAUCCGGAAUCAUUGGGUUUAAAGGGUCCGUAGGCGGUUUUGUAAGUCAGUGGUGAAAGCCCAUCGCUCAACGGUGGAACGGCCAUUGAUACUGCAAGACUUGAAUUAUUGGGAAGUAACUAGAAUAUGUAGUGUAGCGGUGAUAUGCUUAGAGAUUACAUGGAAUACCAAUUGCGAAGGCAGGUUACUACCAAUAUAUUGACGCUGAUGGACGAAAGCGUGGGGAGCGAACAGG